UACGUAGGGGCGAGCGUUGUCCAGAGUUACUGGGCGUAAAGAGCGUGUAGGCGGUUGAAAAAGUCAGGUGUGAAAUUCUUCGGCUCAACCGAGGGACUGCGCUUGAAACUUUUCGACUGGAGUUUGGGAGGGGCAACCGGAAUUCCUGGUAUAACGGUGAAAUGUGUAGAUAUCAGGAGGAACACCCGUGGCGAAGGCGGGUUGCUGGACCAAAACUGACGCUGAGACGCGAAAGCGUGGGGAGCAAACAGGAUUAGAUACCCCCUGUAGUCCCUGAGCGGGCUGG
rnacentral:rRNA from 1 species